UGACUUUGGCAGCCUGUAUAGUAAAAUUGGAAUGAUACAGAAAACAUUAGUAUGGCCCCUGAACAAGGACGACACGCAGAUUUGGGAAGUGCUCUAGUAAAAU